rnacentral:rRNA from 1 species
GGAAUAUUGCACAAUGGGGGAAACCCUGAUGCAGCGACGCCGCGUGAGUGAAGAAGUAUUUCGGUACGUAAAGCUCUAUCAGCAGGGAAGAAAAUGACGGUACCUGACUAAGAAGCCCCGGCUAACUACGUGCCAGCAGCCGCGGUAAUACGUAGGGGGCAAGCGUUAUCCGGAUUUACUGGGUGUAAAGGGAGCGUAGACGGCCAGACAAGUCUGAAGUGAAAAUCCAGCGCUUAACGUUGGAAGUGCUUUGGAAACUGCCGGGCUAGAGUGCAGGAGGGGCAGGCGGAAUUCCUAGUGUAGCGGUGAAAUGCGUAGAUAUUAGGAGGAACACCAGUGGCGAAGGCGGCUUUCUGGACGAUGACUGACGUUGAGGCUCGAAAGCGUGGGGAGCAAACA